GGUUAGGGUAAAAAAAAAAACUCUCUCUCUCUCUCUCUCUAUCUCUCUCUCAACUUUGCUCCUCUUCGCCAAUCUUCACCACGUCUGCCCAAACUCUCAGCUAACCAUUUUCAUCAUUUUUCCUGCCAAUCUUCACCACGUUUGCCCUGAACUCUCAGAGAGAAGAUGUUAAUUAAAGGUAGAAAAGAACGCACACCUGAGAGAUUUUUACUUUUGCUGAUUUACCUGCACCUGAAUUACAAUGGGUGGAGACGCCACCAGCACUGGUACCUCAUCUUGAUGGAGCAUCCAUACAGAUUAAAAAACUUUUAUAUGUGUUUGCAGGAUAUCGCACACUUGACCAUGUGCACUCUCAUGUUGACAUACACAAUUUCACUAGUAAUACAUGGGGAGGGAGGUUUGAUUUGCCCAAAGAGAUGGGGUAUUCACAUUUAGUUUUGUAAAGAUAUUUUCAGAUAUUUUAUGUUUUUUACAAUUCAAGGUGGCUCUAAUUGAAAUGCAAUUAACUAUUUGAUGAAAUGCCUCUAUGAGCUAUCUAUUUAACUGCAAGAGUUUUAGGCUGA